GACAGAGGUGCCGAGCGUUAGGCGGAAUCACUGGGCUUAAAGCGUGUGUAGGCGGGCCGUUAAGUACCUUGUGAAAUCCCCCGGCUCAACCGGGGAAUGGCUGGAUAUACUGGCGGUCUUGAGCGAUCUAGGGGCAGAUGGAACAAGUGGUGGAGCGGUGAAAUGCGUAGAUAUCACUUGGAACGCCAAAGGUGAAAACAGUCUGCUGGGGAUCUGCUGACGCUGAGACACGAAAGCCAGGGGAGCGAACGGG
rnacentral:rRNA from 1 species